UUUCCGAGCAACUUUUUAAGACGUGAUCCCAACAGUCACGCUUUGUUACCCUAAUUUUUCAUCUCUGCUCCCAAAUUUGCCCUCAUUCAAUGAGGUUUCACUCAAUUCUUACGUAUCUUGGAGUGAUUCAGUUGAUGAUUCACUGAAUAUUUAUGUUUCAAUCGAUUGCAAUUGAUUAGCCCUUGAGUAACUGAAGAUUAAUGAUUCAAUUGAUGAGAGCAUUGAAUCGGCGUUGCUUCCCCUCCCUGUUUGGUGAAAUCCUUCAAUUCAAUGCCAAUGGAAGUGAAUCGUAACCCUAACCCUCUGAUUGACCAUCGUGAUAUAUCCUUUCGCCAAUGGAAGUCAGAUGAAAACUUUUCUGGCUGUCUACAGGUACAACGAACAUUACGCUGAACUUUGGAUGGACGUCAACCACGAGAAAGAGUGUGGGCAGUGACCAAAGGUAUUCGAUUAGGGUUUCCCAAGGAGGAAGAAAGUGGCAUGUUCUUGUUCGGUUCUUGUCCGUGACGCCAUUGCUCGAAUCCAAGAGGCGUUCUGACCAGCUGCGUCCGACAUGGCCCAGAAUUUGACAACCGGGAACAAAGCUACAGAUGAAAGUCAUUUUCGGCCAAAGGUUUAUGCCAGACUCGAAGUUGAUUUCAAUUAGAGGAGAGCAAGGUCAAGGAGGUUAAAGGAGAGGUGACCCCUAAGCAUACUAAACUGUUACACUUUGAGGAAUAAGGCAGACAAAAGGGCAUAGGCCUAUGGGACAGGGAUAUAAGGUCAGUCAGCAUACACGACUGGUUUGAAUUGCUGGGUCAUUUCUUGUUGCGGAUUACUCAUGGUAAGGGGUAGGAAGAUGGAAAGCUUAAGUGAUAGUUCUGCUAUAAUGAUUUGCCCUGAUUUGAGAGGAGAUCGUGUUUCGAGGGUUUCUAUCCCCUUCAUUGACCAGAUGGCAGAAUCAGGGGCACAUGUUGUUAUGGUAGUUAGAAAUACCAAGGCAGCCCAUAAACUGAUCUAAAAUGGCAGGAUGAAUGGUCUGGAAAAGAAGCUUUCCUCUCAAUAUUGAGUGAACCAUAGAAUUGCCCCUCAUGAUAGGGCUAAGCAGAA